CUUAUUGAAUGCAUGUGAGAAUACUUGCAAAAAGCUUCAAGAAACAGAUAUAACAUCUACAACAUAACACAAACAGAACCAGAUUGGGAAGCUGCAAUGCAUGUUGUGAUUGGAACACGGGGCCUCUCACCCUCAGUGAUGUCACGUGCAAAGGGCAGCACUGGAUUUACAGAUGACAGAAGACCUACGUUCCAGGCCUAGCUCUGCCAAUUCCUGUGUGACCGUGGAUAAGUAACUCAACAUCUCUUGAGCCUCACUUCACUUACUAUCUGUAAAAUGAGACCAAUCACCUUCUUGCAGAGCUGUUAGGAGAGUCAGAUGAAACAAUAAUGUCUGUGAAAGAAACUCUAAAAACUAUAAAGCACAGCAUUUUUUUCCCUCCUAAUAGUUUUGGCUCUGUUCUAUAGCCUCUACAGCCAGAAGCCACCUCAUCCACCAAAGCCCUCAGGAUUUCAGAAAUGUUUGCCUUUGUUGUUUUUGGAUAGAAGUUAUAACUGUUUAUGCUUUUAGAAACUCUUUUCUACUGAACAGAAAAGUGAGAUAGAGUGAGACUCUAGGGACAAAUAUCUGAUUACAAAGUGCAUAUGAUUCACCUGUCUGAAAGCUGAAGUCCACUUAGAAAUACAUGAUCAUUCCUUUAUUUCUCUCCCAAUAAAGACUGUGAAUACAA